GUGUAUAAUAAUCUGGACUUGUAACAACAGCCAUUGCAGUAAUUUUAUAACUUAUACUUUUAUAUACGCAGGGCUUGAAUCCUCUAAUGUUCGUCUUUGCACUAGUCGCAAACGUCACUUAUGUCGGAAGCAUACUUGUAAGAACCACAGAAUGGGACAGCAUCAAAGCCAAUAUGCCAUGGCUGCUCGAUGCAGUAGUUUGCGUGGGACUCGACUUAUUUAUAAUAUUGCAGUACAUAUAUUACAAACAUUUGAGGAAGAGGACCACAAGAGGUGAAGAAAACUACACAUACUACAAGGAAGCAAACAAAGUUGUGGUUUCUUGAAUGCGCAUUGCAAGGAUGCAUGUAUGCUGCUGCAAAAUCAAAAUCAAGAGACCCCAAUAUUGACCUUGUGUAUCUCCUUUUGCUAUUAUUAAUGCUCAGGCUUGCUCUCGUCUUGUUCGAGUCGAAUGAUCGUAAUUUUUUUUUAGAAUUUUUUUUUUUGUUUAUCUCUUUUUGGUUUGUGUUUUUGAUGAACUCAUAAGUUAGGUAUAGUGAGAAGUACUGAGAGCCAUUAGUCAAUGUCAAGGUGUGGAUUAUAUAUAUGUGGCUGUGGUCUUAGAUUGAUGAUUGUCUUUCUCUUUCCCGUGGAAAAUCCAUUUCCAUCACCUUUUUUUUCUUCUUUUUCCAAGGUGAUCUUAUAAGAGAUUUGACAAAGGGAAAGCUAUAGUACUUCUAAAAUGUUUGGUGGGGGUGCUACCAAUGGAAGUUUAUAUUUGUGCUG